rnacentral:rRNA from 1 species
AAUUGACGGGGGCCCCGCACAAGCGGCGGAGCAUGCGGAUUAAUUCGAUGCAACGCGAAGAACCUUACCAAGGCUUGACAUAACCGAGAACGCUGUAGAGAUACAGAACUCUUUGGACACUCGGUUACAGGUGGUGCAUGGUUGUCGUCAGCUCGUGUCGUGAGAUGUUCGGUUAAGUCCGGCAACGAGCGCAACCCUCGUCCUAUGUUGCCAGCACGUUAUGGUGGGAACUCAUGGGAUACUGCCGUGGUCAACACGGAGGAAGGUGGGGAUGACGUCAAAUCAUCAUGCCCCUUAUGUCUUGGGCUUCACGCAUGCUACAAUGGCCGAUACAAAGGGCUGCGAUACCGCGAGGUGGAGCGAAUCCCAAAAAGUCGGUCUCAGUUCGGAUUGGGGUCUGCAACUCGACCCCAUGAAGUCGGAGUCGCUAGUAAUCGCAGAUCAGCAACGCUGCGGUGAAUACGUUCCCGGGCCUUGUACACACCGCCCGUCAAGUCAUGAAAGUCGGUAACACCCGAAGCCGGUGGCCUAACCCUUGUGGAGGAGCCGUCGAAGGUGGGACUGGUGAUUAGGACUAAGUCGUAACGCCACGGUGACUAUUUGC